rnacentral:rRNA from 1 species
GACGAACGCUGGCGGCGUGCUUAACACAUGCAAGUCGAACGCUGAAGACCUGGCUUUUGUUGGGUUGGAUGAGUGGCGAACGGGUGAGUAACACGUGAGUAACCUGCCCUCUUCUUUGGGAUAACGCCCGGAAACGGGUGCUAAUACUGGAUAUUCACUGAUCUUCGCAUGGGGGUUGGUGGAAAGGUUUGUUUUGGUGGGGGAUGGGCUCGCGGCCUAUCAGCUUGUUGGUGGGGUGAUGGCCUACCAAGGCUUUGACGGGUAGCCGGCCUGAGAGGGUGACCGGUCACAUUGGGACUGAGAUACGGCCCAGACUCAUACGGGAGGCAGCAGUGGGGAAGAUUGCACAAUGGGCGAAAGCCUGAUGCAGCGACGCCGCGUGAGGGAUGGAGGCCUUCGGGUUGUAAACCUCUUUCGCUAAUGGUCAAGCCGCAACUGUGGGUUGUGGUGAGGGUAGUGGGUAAAGAAGCGCCGGCUAACUACGUG